rnacentral:rRNA from 1 species
GACGAAUGCUGGCUGCGUGCUUAACACAUGCAAGUCGAACGGUGAACAGGGGCUUGCCCCUGGGAUCAGUGGCGAACGGGUGAGUAACACGUGGGCAACCUGCCCCUCACUCUGGGAUAACUCCGGGAAACCGGGGCUAAUACCGGAUACGACCUGACACGACAUCGGGUCUGGUGGAAAGAACUUCGGUGAGGGAUGGGCCCGCGGCCUAUCAGCUAGUUGGUGAGGUAACGGCUCACCAAGGCGACGACGGGUAGCCGGCCUGAGAGGGCGACCGGCCACACUGGGACUGAGACACGGCCCAGACUCCUACGGGAGGCAGCAGUGGGGAAUAUUGCGCAAUGGGCGAAAGCCUGACGCAGCGACGCAGCGUGAGGGACGAC